rnacentral:rRNA from 1 species
GAUGAACGCUGGCGGCGUGCUUAACACAUGCAAGUCGAACGGUGAAGCAGAGCUUGCUCUGUGGAUCAGUGGCGAACGGGUGAGUAACACGUGAGCAACCUGCCCCUGACUCUGGGAUAAGCGCUGGAAACGGCGUCUAAUACUGGAUAUGAGCUGCGACCGCAUGGUCAGCAGUUGGAAAGAUUUUUCGGUCUGGGAUGGGCUCACGGCCUAUCAGCUUGUUGGUGAGGUAAUGGCUCACCAAGGCGUCGACGGGUAGCCGGCCUGAGAGGGUGACCGGCCACACUGGGACUGAGACACGGCCCAGACUCCUACGGGAGGCAGCAGUGGGGAAUAUUGCACAAUGGGCGAAAGCCUGAUGCAGCAACGCCGCGUGAGGGAUGACGGCCUUCGGGUUGUAAACCCCUUUUAGCAGGGAAGAAGCGAAAGCGACGGUACCUGCAGAAAAAGCGCCGGCUAACUACGUG